AGAAAGCACACUUUGCUUCUGUUUAAACUUUGUCUCUGUUUAAGCUGUGCAUUUGCGUGUCAUUAAAGUUUACUUUUUUCCUGUUUGUUUGUAGGUCUGACAAAUCGUCUCAUAGGCCCGUCUUCUGAAGCCUACCUGUUGCCUGAACUGACAAGAUAUGACUGUGAGGUUAAUGUGCCAGUUCUGGGCAACUCAAACCUUCUGCAAGGGUGUGAUCUCCUCAGAGCUCUUGAUCAGACUACCUGAGGAACAACAAAGAUAACUAUUGACUCACAACUGUUCAAAUGUCUUCAACUUCUAAAUCAAUUUUUUUUCCAAGUAGACAGCUUCUAUCGUUGAUAACACUUGUACAAGAUUCACUUACUUUUCUGAACUUUGUUCACAUUACCAAAUAGUGGCCUUCUUCGAUUGACUUCAUAUUAAAAGAAAAGCAUAUAUGUUUUUACCUGUUGUAUUUUUUUUUCUUCAUUUUAAUUAAAAAAAAAGUGUAUAGUAUAGAAAAUAUUUUACGCACCCUACUACCCUUGUAAAAGUAAUUUAUAUAUAUAUAUAUUUUUUUUAAAUUGGCCACAGGUGAAUUAUGGUGCAUGUAUUUCUGUUAAUCAUGCAGUUUUAUACCCAAAAUGGGUGAUUUUACUGACACAAAAGACAAAAGCCUAGUUGCCCAUUUUAAAAUGCAGUGCCUUUUAUGUUCUACUCUUUGAGUCAGACUGUAAAUUCAGUCAUUAAGUGUAAACAAAUAAGUGGUGGAAAACCAUUUUAAUUCCACCCAGGUAUUUAAAAUAAUGCAGGGACUUAAAUUACACAGAUCAGACUUCCAUAAAUAUACAUUUGUAGACCCAUCUCUCAUAAAACAAAUGUGUCGAGAUUGAAGUGUCAUUUUUCCCGAUUUUGGGAACGAGUUCUUAGCUUAAUGCUUUCCUUCUUGCAAGGUCCUGUUAGUGUCUUCUCCUGACAACUGUGUGUGUUUUUAGCACCCCUGAUUUAAUGGUAGCCUCUAAUAUGAUGUGGAAGCAUGUCUGAUUUUCAGAUAUAAAAAUUGUUGCAAUAAACUUUAAAAAACAGGAAAUGUAAUUUGCAGAGGAUCUCUUUCCUAAAAAGGGGCUUUUAGAUCUCAAAGGUACAUACGGGCACUGCAUAUAUUAAAGAUCUUAAUGCAUAUUUAUAAAUUAUGAUGUGGGGAUGUUGGAAUCUUUUUAAGCACUUUGUUAUUGAAGGGUCAUCAUACCUGCAUUACAUUUUAAGUCGUUGAAAACCAAAGGUGUAAGAAAGACAAUACAUUAUCUGCUUAUCUGACACCAAGGAAUUAAAAUUUCAUUCAACACUUGAAUGGUCCAAAGAGAAAAUAAAUACACACAAUUUUCCCAUAAAAAGGUUUUGAGAUAAAUUAAAAUUAAAUUGUAGCCAAUUUAGCAUCUUACAUACAUUCAGCAGUUUAUGAACCUUUCCGCUGAAUAUUUUUGUAUUUUAAUGUCAAAAACUGAGGAGUUAAAUACCAGUGAUUUUAUUAUAUCUGAAAAUAAAAACUACUUUAUAUAAAUAUAUAUAUUUUAUAACUAAGCUAAUGGGUUAAGGGUAAGAUUCAAUGUUGCACAGAGAUGACCCUGGCAUUUAGAUUAUUCAAAAUCUUUGUAUUAACAUUUAACACUUUGAGCCUUUUGACCAUAUAUGCCUUACAUACAUCUUUUAUUGGUACUUGUUUUUUUAUGUCAGAAACAUAAAUUCUUGUUCACAUAAUCUCUUAUUUUUGUAAAACUGAUAAUCGUUGUUCUGUUUAACAUUACACACAUUUAAAAUCUAUUGAAACAGACACUACUAACACUUCUAAUCAGUUAUGAGGGCAAUUCUUACUUUUACAAUGCAGUAGGGGUAACAGAUUCAGUGUAAAGAAUCGUAUAUCAUUAACUUUAGAAACUGAUAUUUUUUUUCUGUAUGCAUUUGAUUCAGGGUCUAUGUUUAUAGCUUUUAUAUGUUGAUAACUCUUCAAGUGCAAAUAGUUUGUAAUUGUGACUGCAAUGUUUUAUUAAAAGCAUAUUAAAUAUUUUUUUAUAUAAAGUUUAGUGAUAUGUGGCCAGUUGUAUUUUGUGCCCUGGCCUUUAAGUGGGUUGUAAAGCUUUUUUUAAGAACCCAAUCAAGAUGGGUUCAUUCAAACCAAUGUGUUGAAGCCAUUCUGCCACUACCUUAUGGCUACAGGUGGGCAGAUUUAGAGGGCUUGUUGUUGCGUACUGAUUAAUAGUUCAGUUCCCAUGAAGAUUAUCCCUACUUGACCAUCCUCAACUGGUUGGUAUGCCGAAGAUCACCUAUUGUUGUUUGAGAUUGACAUUUUUUUAUCAUGUUUCUCAGGGUUCUUGCUGGGCAUUGCAAUAGCUUGGUUCCUUGAGUCUUAAUAAACUUGUAUGUUUUAUUUUGGCCGCAUCCCAUAUUAGCUACCUAUGUAUGCUAGGCAAACACGCCAACCUAAGGGGACGGUAAUUAGCUCUUUGUGGGUGAAAAAGCCCUGGAAAUAUUACAUAAGGUUUGCAAUCGUUAACAUAAGCUCACACAAGGUUUAAGUAUAGAAGCUGUAUCAAAAUUGCAGGGGACCCCUUGAUAAAGUACAAUUGGGAAUACUAAUCAGGCAUCCCAAUUAUUUCCCAUUUUAAGAUACAUCAAUUUAAUGUACAGGGGAUGAUCAUGAAGUUGUAAACUAAACCUUUAAAAGCAGGUGUAAAGAAGUUAAAAGAACCAGGACUUCACACAUAUGGUUAAAGAGCCUCUUCCGUUCAAAAACAGUCUGUGCAGACUUAAAAUCUAUAGCGAGAUAGCUCGGUGAAACCUUAUGCUAAUUAGAUAUUAUUAGGAAUCUUAUGAUAAAUAGUACAGAUAUGGGGAGAUACAGGAGUCUCACGUAGGUGUCGUCAGAUAAGAUAUACCCAGUACUGUGUACAAUUCUUAUACUCCCAGUGGGAAAUCAAUUAACCAACUAAUUAAUCAAGGCUGUGUUCCAAAAGGAAUAUCAUGAGGUUCGUUAAUUGAUUUCGCAUCAGGAGUUCUGCUAAACAGAAUAAAACAUUCAUAAGCAUCAUUCAGAAGCAUGGCAAUUUGGUAAACAUACCUAAUACAGUGUGCCCUAAUAUUUUUGAGUUUUAUAGCUGUUAAAAUAGGCAAAAGGACCACUAUAGUAUCAGGAAAACAAACUUGUUUUCCUGACACUAUAUAAUCGUUAGGUCCCCCCCACCCUCAGGGCCCCCUCCCGCUGGGCUGAAGUGGUCGGUGCUGGUGACCUUUCCUCCCCCUCCGACGUCGUCUCCCGAGUGGAACCGAAUGCGUAGCCAGAGCAGCGCUCGCAUUAAAAACGCC
rnacentral:lncRNA from 1 species